rnacentral:rRNA from 1 species
GAUGAACGCUGGCGGCGUGCCUAAUACAUGCAAGUCGAGCGAACGGACGAGAAGCUUGCUUUUCUGAUGUUAGCGGCGGACGGGUGAGUAACACGUGGAUAACCUACCUAUAAGACUGGGAUAACUUCGGGAAACCGGAGCUAAUACCGGAUAAUAUUUUGAACCGCAUGGUUCAAAAGUGAAAGACGGUCUUGCUGUCACUUAUAGAUGGAUCCGCGCUGCAUUAGCUAGUUGGUAAGGUAACGGCUUACCAAGGCAACGAUGCAUAGCCGACCUGAGAGGGUGAUCGGCCACACUGGAACUGAGACACGGUCCAGACUCCUACGGGAGGCAGCAGUAGGGAAUCUUCCGCAAUGGGCGAAAGCCUGACGGAGCAACGCCGCGUGAGUGAUGAAGGUCUUCGGAUCGUAAAACUCUGUUAUUAGGGAAGAACAUAUGUGUAAGUAACUGUGCACAUCUUGACGGUACCUAAUCAGAAAGCCACGGCUAACUACGUGCCAGCAGCCGCGGUAAUACGUAGGUGGCAAGCGUUAUCCGGAAUUAUUGGGCGUAAAGCGCGCGUAGGCGGUUUUUUAAGUCUGAUGUGAAAGCCCACGGCUCAACCGUGGAGGGUCAUUGGAAACUGGAAAACUUGAGUGCAGAAGAGGAAAGUGGAAUCCCAUGUGUAGCGGUGAAAUGCGCAGAGAUAUGGAGGAACACCAGUGGCGAAGGCGACUUUCUGGUCUGUAACUGACGCUGAUGUGCGAAAGCGUGGGGAUCAAACAGGAUUAGAUACCCUGGUAGUCCACGCCGUAAACGAUGAGUGCUAAGUGUUAGGGGGUUUCCGCCCCUUAGUGCUGCAGCUAACGCAUUAAGCACUCCGCCUGGGGAGUACGACCGCAAGGUUGAAACUCAAAGGAAUUGACGGGGACCCGCACAAGCGGUGGAGCAUGUGGUUUAAUUCGAAGCAACGCGAAGAACCUUACCAAAUCUUGACAUCCUUUGACAACUCUAGAGAUAGAGCCUUCCCCUUCGGGGGACAAAGUGACAGGUGGUGCAUGGUUGUCGUCAGCUCGUGUCGUGAGAUGUUGGGUUAAGUCCCGCAACGAGCGCAACCCUUAAGCUUAGUUGCCAUCAUUAAGUUGGGCACUCUAAGUUGACUGCCGGUGACAAACCGGAGGAAGGUGGGGAUGACGUCAAAUCAUCAUGCCCCUUAUGAUUUGGGCUACACACGUGCUACAAUGGACAAUACAAAGGGCAGCGAAACCGCGAGGUCAAGCAAAUCCCAUAAAGUUGUUCUCAGUUCGGAUUGUAGUCUGCAACUCGACUACAUGAAGCUGGAAUCACUAGUAAUCGUAGAUCAGCAUGCUACGGUGAAUACGUUCCCGGGUCU